CCGCAUGCACGAAAGUGCGACGGGGGGACCCCAAGUGCCACUCUUAACGGGGUGGCUUUUCUUGAGUGUAAAAAGCUUUUGGAAUAAGGGCUGGGCAAGACCGGUGCCAGCCGCCGCGGUAACACCGGCAGCUCAAGUGGUAGCCAUUUUUAUUGGGCCUAAAGCGUUCGUAGCCGGUUUGAUAAGUCUCUGGUGAAAUCCUAUGGCUUAACUGUGGGAAUUGCUGGAGAUACUAUUAGACUUGAGGUCGGGAGAGGUUAGCGGUACUCCCAGGGUAGGGGUGAAAUCCUGUAAUCCUGGGAGGACCACCUGUGGCGAAGGCGGCUAACUGGAACGAACCUGACGGUGAGGGACGAAAGCCAGGGGCGCGAACCGGAUUAGAUACCCGGGUAGUCCUGGCCGUAAACGAUGUGGACUUGGUGUUGGAAUGGCUUCGAGCUGCUCCAGUGCCGAAGGGAAGCUGUUAAGUCCACCGCC
rnacentral:rRNA from 1 species